UCUACGGGUGGCUGCAGUGGGGAAUUUUGGACAAUGGGCGCAAGCCUGAUCCAGCUAUUCCGCGUGUGGGAUGAAGGCCCUCGGGUUGUAAACCACUUUUGUAGAGAACGAAAAGACACCUUUUAAUAAAGGGUGUUGCUGACGGUACUCUAAGAAUAAGCACCGGCUAACUACGUGUCAGCAGCCGCGGUAAUACGUAGGGUGCGAGCGUUAUCCGGAUUUAUUGGGUUUAAAGGGUGCGCAGGCGGAGGUGCAAGUCAGCGGUCAAAUUGCGGGGCUCAACCCCGUACUGCCGUUGAAACUGCAUCACUUGAGUGCGCGAGAAGUAUGCGGAAUGCGUGGUGUAGCGGUGAAAUGCAUAGAUAUCACGCAGAACUCCGAUUGCGAAGGCAGCAUACCGGCGCGCAACUGACGCUCAUGCACGAAAGCGUGGGUAUCGAACAGGAUUAGAUACCCCAGUAGUC
rnacentral:rRNA from 1 species